rnacentral:rRNA from 1 species
GACGAACGCUGGCGGCGUGCUUAACACAUGCAAGUCGAACGAAGUGGCGAACGGGUGAGUAACGCGUAAUCAACCUGCCCUUCAGAGGGGGACAACAGUUGGAAACGACUGCUAAUACCGCAUACUGAAGGCGGGGAUUGCGUCGGAUGAGCUAGUUGGCGGGGUAACGGCCGACCAAGGCGAUGAUCAGUAGCCUGUCGUGGAGGAGGAACGGCCAAAUUGGGACUUAGACCCGGCCCAGACUCCUACGGGAGGCAGCAGUGGGGAAUCUGCCGCAAUGGACGAAAGUCUGACGGAGCAACGCCGCGUGAGUGAUGACGGCCUUCGGGUUGUAAAGCUCUGUUAAUCGGGACGCGGUACCGGAAUAGAAAGCCACGGCUAACUACGUGCCAGCAGCCGCGGUAAUUC